CUCCAUCUGCCAAAUAUCAGACCAGAACUUUUCCUUGGUGUUUCCAAGACGGAACCAUAUAACUAAGGGGAUUCUGGGAAUUGUAGUUCCCAGCUUCUCUCGGUGCCACAGAGGAGAACUUAGAAAGGGGUGGUGAUGAUGCUGAGCUGACAACAGACGAUCUGCCCAUUAUUUAAUUGGAUGAGCCCUCCUAGGAGUAAGUAUGGGGAGUUGCCAGGUGGAAGGAGCAGCAGAAGCAGAGCACACACAGCGACGGAAGGCAGUGAGCAGAGAUGGGAUCCUGAGUAAGCCGAGAGGAGAGGAAGUCUCUGGUGUCGUAGGGGAGGCAGAGAAGAAGGAAGAUGGAGGGAAGGGAGCAUUGGAUUUCUGCGGAGCCCCUAAAGUAUUCAAGGCAUCCAGAUGCUCCAGUGUCAUGACGUGGCAGGCCUGCAUCUCAAUGACACCUAUGUGGGAGGAGAGGUACUCACAGUUGUCCCUUCCCCUGACUCUGGGUGCUAAGAUUUGCUGGGACGAGCUGGUUGCUCCCAAGGUCUCAGAUAUUCUGUGAACUGAGGGUCCUUAGGAGUCCCACCUCCUGCCUGAAGGCUUCCCGAUCAACUCUCCCUUCAGCCUAAACUCCUUAUUUUGACACAUGUUCACACAUACGUUGUCAUGGCUUGUUUGCUAUUCUGCAUGUGCUGUGUCCCCAUGUAGCUCUUUGGAGCCAGAAGCCCAAACUAUCUUCUAAAUCCCACGCAACCCUGGAAGGUGCUCCACACCUCUGGGCUGGACUGAGCUGAGGCAGAGGCUGGAAGGAAAGAUCUGUAGGCAUCAGCAGAGCCACCGAAGAUGCUCCUGUCACCCAUGGGCAAGGCUUUGGGAGAAGGGACGAAAGUCCAUCUAGGGCCACUUCCUUUUAUCCCCUAGAGCAGCCAACCUAAAUGAGGGGACUGGAGGAGCAAACCUCGCUCAAGGAAAUCAGAGAUCAACUGGAAUCAAUCCUCGGGCUAUGGAAAGGAGUAACGCAAACAAAACACAGGUUGUGUGUAUGUUUGUGUAUGGGGGGGGCUGGUUGCCAUGACACAAAGGGCCACACCCACCAAGGCUGGGCUGAAACAGGGAUGAGGCUCUGAGACAGAAACUUGCGUAAACAGCCAAUCCUCUAGGAGAGGCCCCCCCCCCCCCACUGCAGUAGAACAACUGCCUAGUAAUGAGGAGACCCCCAGCUGAGGACACCAGCUUCUGAACAGUGGCUGAGCUGCUCUUUCUAGGCAUUAACUCCAGAAAUUGGAGAUGAGGAAACCAGAGCAAACUGGAGGUCAGCUUGGAGGUUGUGUCCAUCGCUGAACCAAUCAGUUGGGUAAGAGGAUUGUGUACCCGGAACGCCAGCCUGGAUGGUCUUAUUCAAUCCUCACAACAACUUUCUAAGUGAGCGAGGAAGGCUGUGUCAAUAUGGGGGUGCACCACGGGGUCUCCACAUGGAGAGCAGCUGCAGAGAGUCACCACACGUGCAACAAGGCUUUGUGUCAGAUCCCAUCCAGGCAGUACAACAUUACAUUUUGUCAUUGCAUCCCCUUAAGGACAUGACAGUUUCUCCGACUGUCCUUGCUUUUGAGCACCUUGACAGCUGUAAGGAGUGCUGGUCAGGGAAGGCUAAGGUGCGGUUUAUUGCCCAGGGAAGCGGAGGGCUGAUUCAGAGCAAGGCGUCAUGGAGGGAUGAAGCAGGACAUGAUGCAGAGAAGCUGCUGCCCACAGCAGUAGGACCAGAACGGUGGACUCAAGGAAGAGAGAAGGAGAACCAGAAAGGCAGCUCCGUCCUUCACGCUCGGAGGGCUUGGAGGGGAAGAAACUCCAGUGGGGUUUGAGGGUAGAUCUCCCUGUGAGGGGCUGAGUGGGGCUUGACUCUCAGAUUGCAGCUGUGGGAAAUUUAGUGAACUCCCUUAGCAAAGUGGCAAUUCAGGAUGGUGCCAACGCAACACGGCGCCGCCCAGGAGGUAGUUUGAUAUGGCUGAGGAAGCGGGUCUGGGAAGUGGCUUCACGGAACUCUGCCUCUUCUGGUGUGAGUGGGGAGAAUGCAGCUGGGUGGUCCUAGGUCCCAGGGGCUAUAGAAGCAAGAUCUGCACCAGCAGCCAUGUGUGGGGACCACACACUUCAGUAGCACCCCUCAUCCCCUACCCCAAGCAAGUCCCAGGGACCAGGCUGGACCCGCUCUGUCCCCAUCAGGGGUGCUGAAGAAUGCAGGGGGCUCACUCUUCCCUCAACCACAAGGGCAUGUGAAUAUCUCCCUGCCCCAGGAAAUUCUCUAGGAGAAGGAAGAGGGGUGAGAAAACCCUGGAAAACAGCGUUUUACUCAAAGGAGCCUGAGUUAAACAUACAGAAAUGGAGAUAUCUCUAAUGGACAAGUUAAAGGUUUCUUUUCAUUUUUUUCUUUUUCUUUUUCUUUUUUGCUUGUUAACAGUAGUAAUGGUCUCAUCAGAUCAAGAUAAGAACAGUACAAAAAAAUUAAAGAUGCUAGUUUUAUCCAUCUGAGCUGUAGGAUGUGACUUCCAACCCCAGCACACACAUGGCUGCACAAGUUUGCCUGGGCAGCUGUGUACUCUUGAUUCCUCUAGUCAGAUUUUUCUUUGAGACUCACUGUGUGUUUUGCUUUAGCCAGGAGUUGAGAAUCACAAAAUCAUCAAAUCUGUAUUAAUUAUCUAUUGCUGCAUAAUAAAUUACUCCAAAAACUUA